rnacentral:rRNA from 1 species
GGACUACUGGGGUAUCUAAUCCUGUUUGCUCCCCACGCUUUCGCGCCUCAGCGUCAGUUACGGACCAGGUCGCCGCCUUCGCCACCGGUGUUCUUCCCAAUAUCUACGAAUUUCACCUCUACACUGGGAAUUCCACGACCCUCUUCCGCACUCUAGCCCGCACGUAUCAAAUGCAGCCCCCAGGUUAAGCCCAGGAAUUUCACAUCUGACUAUGCGAACCGCCUACGCGCCCUUUACGCCCAGUCAUUCCGAGCAACGCUAGCCCCCUUCGUAUUACCGCGGCUGCUGGCAC